rnacentral:rRNA from 1 species
AGUAGUUUGAUCCUGGCUCAAGAACGAACGCUGGCGGCAUGCCUAACACAUGCAAGUCGAACGAGACCUUCGGGUCUAGUGGCGCACGGGGUGCGUAACGCGUGGGAAUCUGCCCUUGGGUUCGGAAUAACAGUUAGAAAUGACUGCUAAUACCGGAUAAUGUCUUCGGACCAAAGAUUUAUCGCCCAGGGAUGAGCCCGCGUAGGAUUAGCUAGUUGGUGAGGUAAAGGCCCACCAAGGCGACGAUCCUUAGCUGGUCUGAGAGGAUGAUCAGCCACACUGGGACUGAGACACGGCCCAGACUCCUACGGGAGGCAGCAGUGGGGAAUAUUGGACAAUGGGCGAAAGCCUGAUCCAGCAAUGCCGCGUGAGUGAUGAAGGCCUUAGGGUUGUAAAGCUCUUUUACCCGGGAUGAUAAUGACAGUACCGGGAGAAUAAGCCCCGGCUAACUCCGUG